UAUCUGGGGAAUAGCCUCCCGAAAGANAGAUUAAUACCCCAUACCACAANGUUAAGGCAUCUUAAUAUUGUGAAAGCUCAGGCGGAUAUGGAUGGGCAUGCGGCUGAUUAGCUAGUUGGUAGGGUAACGGCCUACCAAGGCUACGAUCAGUAGGGGGUCUGAGAGGAUGUCCCCCCACACUGGUACUGAGAUACGGACCAGACUCCUACGGGAGGCAGCAGUAGGGAAUAUUGGUCAAUGGAGGCAACUCUGAACCAGCCAUGCCGCGUGCAGGAAGACUGCCCUAUGGGUUGUAAACUGCUUUUGUACGGGAAGAAACCUUACUACGUGUAGUAAGUUGACGGUACCGUGAGAAUAAGGAUCGGCUAACUUCGUGCCAGCAGCCGCGGUAAUACGAAGGAUCCAAGCGUUGUCCGGAUUUACUGGGUUUAAAGGGUGCGUAGGUGGACUAAUAAGUCAGUGGUGAAAGCCUGCAGCUUAACUGUAGAAUUGCCAUUGAAACUGUUCGUCUCGAGUAUGGUUGAGGUUACUGGAAUAUAUCAUGUAGCGGUGAAAUGCUUANAUAUGAUAUAGAACACCAAUUGCGAAGGCAGGUAACUAAGCCAUAACUGACACUGANGCACGAAAGCGUGGGGGAUCAAACAGGAUUAGAUACCCUGNUAGUCCACGCCCUAAACGUUGCAUACUCGAUCUUANCGAUAUACAGUUANGGUCUUANCGAAAGCGGUAAGUAUGCCACCUGNNAAGUACGUUCNCAAGAAUGAAACUCAAANGAANUGACGGGGGCCCGCACAAGCGGAGGANCAUGUGGUUUNANUUCGAUGAUNNNCGAGGAACCUUACCUGGGCUUGAAUGUGANUGACC
rnacentral:rRNA from 1 species